rnacentral:rRNA from 1 species
UGCGGCAGCGACGCUUAUGCGUUGUUGGGUAGGGGAGCGUUCUGUAAGCCUGCGAAGGUGUGCUGUGAGGCAUGCUGGAGGUAUCAGAAGUGCGAAUGCUGACAUAAGUAACGAUAAAGCGGGUGAAAAGCCCGCUCGCCGGAAGACCAAGGGUUCCUGUCCAACGUUAAUCGGGGCAGGGUGAGUCGACCCCUAAGGCGAGGCCGAAAGGCGUAGUCGAUGGGAAACAGGUUAAUAUUCCUGUACUUGGUGUUACUGCGAAGGGGGGACGGAGAAGGCUAUGUUGGCCGGGCGACGGUUGUCCCGGUUUAAGCGUGUAGGCUGGUUUUCCAGGCAAAUCCGGAAAAUCAAGGCUGAGGCGUGAUGACGAGGCACUACGGUGCUGAAGCAACAAAUGCCCUGCUUCCAGGAAAAGCCUCUAAGCAUCAGGUAACAUCAAAUCGUACCCCAAACCGACACAGGUGGUCAGGUAGAGAAUACCAAGGCGCUUGAGAGAACUCGGGUGAAGGAACUAGGCAAAAUGGUGCCGUAACUUCGGGAGAAGGCACGCUGAUAUGUAGGUGAAGUCCCUUGCGGAUGGAGCUGAAAUCAGUCGAAGAUACCAGCUGGCUGCAACUGUUUAUUAAAAACACAGCACUGUGCAAACACGAAAGUGGACGUAUACGGUGUGACGCCUGCCCGGUGCCGGAAGGUUAAUUGAUGGGGUCAGCGCAAGCGAAGCUCUUGAUCGAAGCCCCGGUAAACGGCGGCCGUAACUAUAACGGUCCUAAGGUAGCGAAAUUCCUUGUCGGGUAAGUUCCGACCUGCACGAAUGGCGUAAUGAUGGCCAGGCUGUCUCCACCCGAGACUCAGUGAAAUUGAACUCGCUGUGAAGAUGCAGUGUACCCGCGGCAAGACGGAAAGACCCCGUGAACCUUUACUAUAGCUUGACACUGAACAUUGAGCCUUGAUGUGUAGGAUAGGUGGGAGGCUUUGAAGUGUGGACGCCAGUCUGCAUGGAGCCGGCCUUGAAAUACCACCCUUUAAUGUUUGAUGUUCUAACGUGGACCCGUGAUCCGGGUUGCGGACAGUGUCUGGUGGGUAGUUUGACUGGGGCGGUCUCCUCCUAAAGAGUAACGGAGGAGCACGAAGGUUGGCUAAUCCUGGUCGGACAUCAGGAGGUUAGUGCAAUGGCAUAAGCCAGCUUGACUGCGAGCGUGACGGCGCGAGCAGGUGCGAAAGCAGGUCAUAGUGAUCCGGUGGUUCUGAAUGGAAGGGCCAUCGCUCAACGGAUAAAAGGUACUCCGGGGAUAACAGGCUGAUACCGCCCAAGAGUUCAUAUCGACGGCGGUGUUUGGCACCUCGAUGUCGGCUCAUCACAUCCUGGGGCUGAAGUAGGUCCCAAGGGUAUGGCUGUUCGCCAUUUAAAGUGGUACGCGAGCUGGGUUUAGAACGUCGUGAGACAGUUCGGUCCCUAUCUGCCGUGGGCGCUGGAGAACUGAGGGGGGCUGCUCCUAGUACGAGAGGACCGGAGUGGACGCAUCACUGGUGUUCGGGUUGUCAUGCCAAUGGCACUGCCCGGUAGCUAAAUGCGGAAGAGAUAAGUGCUGAAAGCAUCUAAGCACGAAACUUGCCCCGAGAUGAGUUCUCCCUGACCCUUUAAGGGUCCUGAAGGAACGUUGAAGACGACGACGUUGAUAGGCCGGGUGUGUAAGCGCAGCGAUGCGUUGAGCUAACCGGUACUAAUGAACCGUGAGG